CCCGCUGGGCGCGGCGCUCGGGCCCCUCGAAGGGGCUGCCGGUGCUCAAGCUCGGGGCCAGCGGGGAGCUCGCCUCUUUCUCGCACUGUUUUGGUCUUCCUGAUUUCUCUCGUUCUCCUUCCUCCCAGAGGAGCCUCUGUUAGUGUCCUCCCUUGGAAUUGCCCCCGGGGAGGGGACUGGGCGAGAGGCGGCGACCCCAGCCCCACCGUGCCUUCCUCCGCAGCGGAGCCAGUGGCUUGCGCGGGCCUCAGGGAAGAGCAGUGUCCCUUCACCUUUACCCUUUACCCUUCUCCCUUUUGUUUCUCCCUGUUUUUCCGGAAGGCUGAAGCCCCCCUUCGGGACCCCAUGGACGGCUUCAUUAAAACCAAGCACACCCUGCAACAAGCAUUGGAAGGGCCUGGGAAAAGCCACACUGGGAAGUUCUGUCUUCCAGCCCCACCUCCUUGUUCUCAGAUUACAGGAAUGAAGAGCUGGUGGGACCUCAGCGUUCACCUGGCUCGUCUCCCGGGCAGAUCCGCACAGCGCUUCAGCGGCCUUGCUCAUCCCUCAGCCUGGGCUUCCUGGAAUGUGUCCUUUUAUCUUGUCCCCAUCAAGACCUGAGUUGCCACUAAAGCUACCAUCAGGGUGCCCACAGGAGCAGGAGCUUUAGGCUUUCAGGUGAGAGGGAUAAUCAUCUUUCUUUGGGGCUAAUGGUGAAGAUUAAAUGG
rnacentral:lncRNA from 1 species